GACGGGGGGGGCAAGUGUUCUUCGGAAUGACUGGGCGUAAAGGGCACGUAGGCGGUGAAUCGGGUUGAAAGUGAAAGUCGCCAAAAAGUGGCGGAAUGCUCUCGAAACCAAUUCACUUGAGUGAGACAGAGGAGAGUGGAAUUCCACGUGUAGCAGUGAAAUGCGUAGAGAUGUGGAGGAACACCGAUGGCGAAGGCAGCCCCCUGGGCUAACACUGACGCUCAGGCACGAAAGCGUGGGGAGCAAACAGG
rnacentral:rRNA from 1 species